rnacentral:rRNA from 1 species
UACGGGGGGGGCAAGCGUUAUCCGGAUUCACUGGGUUUAAAGGGUGCGUAGGCGGACAGGUAAGUCAGUGGUGAAAUCUUCGAGCUUAACUCGGAAACUGCCGUUGAUACUAUCUGUCUUGAAUAUUGUGGAGGUGAGCGGAAUAUGUCAUGUAGCGGUGAAAUGCUUAGAUAUGACAUAGAACACCAAUUGCGAAGGCAGCUCGCUACACAUAUAUUGACUCUGAGGCACGAAAGCGUGGGGAUCAAACAGG